rnacentral:lncRNA from 1 species
AAUGCUAUAAGUACUUUCCAAUUUAAAUUUGUGUUAAGGGGAGAUUUGAUUUAGUAUUAUGAUUGUAUGUCCUACAAGGAGAUACUGUACCUCAUUUAAUUUUAUAAUUGUUUGACCUCAUUUUUUCUCUUUUGCGGGAUACUUUUUCAUUUAUGAUUAAUGGAGCCCUUCUUUCAAGGGAAGAAAUAAUGUUUUCUUAUCAGUAUACUCAAUAAAUCAAUUAAUAAGCUAUCAAAAAUUUUGGGAAAAAUGGAUACCCAAAGUUAGACGGAAAGAAUAUAAAUAAUCCAAAAGAAUAACAUAGAAUAUUUAUGUACCAUUUUUAAUAGUUCGGAUUAUAUUUAACCUUUUGUCGGAUAAAAGAAAAUGAUCGUGCAAAGAUCUUUGUGCACUGGCAUAUUUUAAUUUAGGGAAGAUGGUUAAAUAUUUUAAUCAUAUAUCCCGCCUAUUGUUAACUCCAUCGCUUAUAUGAAUUUUGUUAAUCAUGAUUGAUAUAUAAAGACAUGUCUAAAUUUUUAGCAUUCGAGAAAAAAAAGAAUAAAAUAAAAUGGAUAGAGCACAUUAAAAUAUCAAACACUAUCAUAUAGUGUUACUUUUCAUUCCAAAUGGUGUAUACAUCAUUUCAUUACCAACUCUUUCCUUGAUUACAACCCAUAACACAAUGCUUACAAGUCUUAAAGAACUUGUUGAUAACAAGCUAUAGAAAUAUUUGUGUCAUUACCAAUUUAUUUAGCUUAGGCAGCAAUUUUCUCAAAGCAAUCAUUACCAACCCCAUGUAUCCUUAAAUUUUAGUGGUCUUCUUAUAGGAUGUGGACGAGGAAAAGGAUGAGGACGAGGACGAUUUAGAUGGAGAAUGAGGAGGUGCUUGGAAUUUAGGGAUAUUGUACCCUUUAGGUGGGAGGGGUUUCUUAUAGGACGAGGGCGAGGACGGUUUAGAUGGAGAAAGGGGAGGUGCUUGGGAUUUAGGGACAUUGUAUCCCUUAGGUGGGAGGGUUUUCCUAUAAGACAAGGGUGAGGAUGAGGAUGAGAACGAGGACGAAAAUGAGGACGAUUUAGAUGCUUGGAAUUUAGGGAUAAAGAAUGUUGCGUUAGAUGGGAGGGUUGUAAGGAAUAGAGAAAUGGCAAGGGCUAGAAAAAUUUUGUUAUAAAAUGCCAUUGUCUUUCGUUUUAAUUUAAUAAUAGAAAGAAAGUUAAAAAGAAAGACAAUGGAAACAAGGAAUGAUGUGAAAUAUGGAGAUUCAUUGGGGUGUAUUUAUAUCCAAAAUGAGUUAUAGAUUUAUUGGCUAUGCUUAAAUAUAGAUUCUCAAGUGAAUAUUUAACCUUCAUUUGACAAUGUUUUGUUCAUUCAUUAAAGAAUGGUAGAUUUUCUUAGCCCCACAAACUCAGCCAUUCACACGAUAUUGAAUUAAAUUAAUUAAUGAUAUUCGUUAUUUUUUCAGUUUCAAAAUAAUUGACAUAUUAUUAAAAAUAUUUGUUUUAAAAUAGUUGGGAUAGUGCUAAAUGGCCACAAAAAUUUGGUCACAAUAAUAAAAAGACUAUACUUGGUCACAAUAAUAAAAAAACUAUUUUCGUGGUUUGACCACGGUCGCUUGGUGGAGCGUAUCGGCUAAUUUGACAUUAUGAAUAUAUAAACCACACAAAAUCACACAAAACAAUCAAUCAAACAAACAAACAAACAAAACAAAUCCAAAAUUAUAAUGUCCAGUCCGAUUAUUACAAUCCCGAAAUAGAAAAAUGCAAAAAUAUAAACCUACUCUAUUCUAUGCUAAUUCUAAACUACACUCCAUUACUUUCUCCACCCGACGUUUCGGGCCUUGAUCAUGCGUCAUCUUCAAGUACAUAGUACUUCGGGGCAUUCCCCGGAUAAAUCAAUACAAAUCUCUCGGGGGCAUUCCCCGGUCAAAUAAAUACAAUAGAUGUCAAUGCAUAAAUCAAAACCAUUCCACAAACAUUUCAUUAUUCAACAAUCACAAAUCCUAAACUUUUCCUACCCAACUUAUUGCUUGCCUAACUAUCCACGACCUAAAACAUGAUACUAUCAAACUUAACAAAGUCGACGUUCAUUCCAAAUCAGGCAAUCAUCGCUGAACCAACACAAAUCAACGUUCACUUUUAACAAUUUUCGAUCUUUUUCCUCAAAAUUCAACUUAACCCCAAAUCAACUACGUGAUUAAGAUACUUCACACCAGGAUUAACAAUCAGAUAACGACGAGUAAAAUCACUUCAACCAAAUUCAACCAAAAAUCACACCAUUCAAAAAUAUUCAUGAAAAAGAGAGAUAAGAGAUAUAGAAUUGGACCUGGAUUCAAAGGUUUCAAAAUUAUGACAGAAUCCGCGUCGAAGAAACUCGAUUCGAAACCUCCAUUCGAACCCCAACACCAGACCCACUCCAAACUUAGUGCUACCAAAAUUAAAACCCCGAACUGACCACGAUAACCCAAAAAGCUCACUAAAAUCCAACGAAAAAUCAAACACCCGCAGGGUUUGAACUCCGAUGAUUCGCCGAUGAUGCGGACGACCAGAACAACCAGUCGUCGGACGGAUUUCGUCCGGAAUUGAAGAACAACGGAGGGAGGUUUGACCGUUUUAUACGAACGACGAACAGAAGGGAUGAUUUCGGCGAAGCUACUGCCGGAUUAGUAACCCGAAAUCAACCCCUCUUCCUUCUUCAUUACGGAUCUCGACCUCUCUCACUCUAUUUCCCUCCCAUUCUCGAAUCUCUCUCUCUGUUUCUGUGUGUGAGUGUGUGUGGAAUUGUUUGGUGCUUAAUUAUUUCGGUGAGGGUCCUCUCUAAAUUAGUUACUGUGUGUGUAUCUUUGAAUUUCCAGUGAGUUUCUGAGUUUCCCUGAUUUUUGUGAGUGUGUAUGUACAUAUGCUGUGGGUAUAUGAGGAUACACAAAUGGAGAAAUCCGAUGGUGUCUUUUAAAAGGAAAAAAAUGUGAUAGAGGAGGUGUUGAUGGCGUUCUCAGUGAGGAAGAAAAGAGGGGGGGGGGGGGAAAUAAAGUCUGUGUAUGUCGUGAGUGUCCCCCGUCCUAUGCGUGCACUGUGUUUGUAUAUAUAUUCUCAUCCUUUCGUGUCAAGAAGAAAUGUGAUAUGUAUAUAUGGUCCUCUUUUAAAAAUGGAGAAAAUGGUCCUUUUUUGUCCCUUUCAUGGAAGUUUCCUAGUGGGGCCUUUUUUUAAUGUUUAUCCCUUUUUGCCUUUGUGGACAAGAAAUAUGAGGGAGAGAGGGUCACGUGGGUAUGGGGUGUUGGUGGUAGGGGUAUGGGGAAUGUGUCUUAUUUUAAUUGAAAGGGUUGUUAGGAUGUUAAAAAGAAUAAAAGUUUGUUAGGGAUUUUGUUGAGAGUUAUUUUUUUGUAUUUUUAUGGGAUGUAAUUACAUGGGCAGGAUAAGGUAAAAAUGGGUAAAACGAUAUCGGGGAGGGAAGAAAUUACGUGUCCACAUCAUGCCCCCUUUGAAUGUAAACACGCAACGAGACCGAAUUUUGUCUCAAUCAUUAUUCAAAGGAAGGAGUAAAAGAAAGAAGGACAAUCGAAUCCUGUCGGACACCCUAUCUACCCAAGUCAUGAGGAAGUCACAAGUAUCUCAAAGGGUUGGAAGAGAAGUGGACUAUACCGAGUUGGAGAGUCGAGUGAGGUUCCAUCGAGGUUCCGGUCCGCGGCUCUGUCAUUACAUCAAAAANNNNNNNNNNNNNNNNNNNNNNNNNNNNNNNNNNNNNNNNNNNNNNNNNNNNNNNNNNNNNNNNNNNNNNNNNNNNNNNNNNNNNNNNNNNNNNNNNNNNNNNNNNNNNNNNNNNNNNNNNNNNNNNNNNNNUGUUCUUCAGGCGGGCUCCUGACUUGCUAUUUCAUCACCCUGUUCUUCAGGCGGGCCCCUGAAACCCAAAAUUAAAACUAGAACGAAAAUUAUCCCAAACAAAAAUUAUAGUAAAGUAGUAUUUCAUUUUUGAAAGCGUUAUCCCAUUUUUCAGGAGGGUCCUGAACAUAAAGUAAAAUCCUAUUCUUUCAGGAGGGUCCUGAACAGAAAGUAAAAUCCCAUUUUUCAGAAGGGUCCUGAACAGAAGGUAAAGUUCCAUUUUUCAAGAGGGUCCUGAACUGAAAGUAAAUUCCCAUUCUUCAGGAGGGUCCUGAGCAUAAAAUAGAAUCCCAUUUUUCAGGAGGGUCAUGAACAUAAGGUAAAAUCCCAUUUUUCAGGAGGGUCCUGAACAUAAAGUAACAUCCCAUUUUCCAGGAGGGUCUUGAACAUAAAGUGAAAUCCCAUUUUUCAGGAGGGUCCUGAACAGAAGGUAAAAUCUCAUUUUUCAGGAGGGUCCUGAACAAAAGUGAAGUCCCAUUUUUCAGGAGGGUCCUGAAAUCACAUCAAAACUAAAAAGAAAAUUAUCCCAAACAAAUAUUAUUAUAAAGAGGUUUUAUUUGCCAGAAAAGUAAAGUUUCAAAAAUAGAAAUUGAAUUUUUGUCCCAGUUUAUCAUCAGAAGACUUUUGGAAAAGUCACACAAUACCUACUUGCAUGUUACAAUGAUGAAUCAAGACUCUGACUAUGAAAUGCAUCUCUUAAGAGUAAAAUUAAAUAACUAAGACUAGGAAGUGCAUCUCCUAAUAAUUAAAGCGAGGGAUUGUAACUAGAAAGUGCAUCUUCUAGAGAUACAAGUUUAAGUUAAAAGUGUGUCACUUGACAAAUGAAAACUAGCAAGGAAGUGCGUCUCCUGAGGAUUAAGUGCAAUAACUCGACUAGAAAGUGCGUUUUUCUAGAAAUCAAGACUCAAGUUAGGAAGUGCAUCACCUAAAAAUCAAAAUUCGAAAUACCCAAUCAAGAAAGUGCAUCUCCUUACCAAUGUUGCUUGAAUUAUCAAAACAAGGAAGUGCAUCUCCUUACCAAUGCCACUUGAAUUACUCAAACAAGGAAGUGCGUCUCCUCACAAAUGCUUCUUGAAUUAACCAAACAAGGAAGUGCAUCUCCUUAGAAAUGUUUUCGUGAAUUAACCAAACAAGAAAGUGUUUCUCCUUACAAAUGUUGCUCGAAUUGCCAUAACAAGGAAGUGCGUCUCCUUACAAAUGUUGCUUGAAUUAACCAAACAAGGAAGUGCAUCUCCUUACCAACACUGCUUGAAUUACCAAAAUAAGGAAGUGCGUCUCCUAACAAAUUUUGCUUGAAUUAAUCAAUCAAGGAAGUGCGUCUCCUUGCAAAUAUCGAUCGAAUUACCAAAUAAGGAAGUGCGUCUCCUAAAAAAUGUCUCUUGAAUUACUCAAACAAGGUAGUGCGUUUCCUCACAAAUGUUUCUUGAAUUAACCAAAUAAAGGAAGUGCAUCUCCUAACAAUAUUGCUUGAAUUGUCCAAACAAGGAAGUGCUUCUCCAUACAUCGCUUGGAUUACAAAAAAAAGGAAGUGCGUCUCCUAAUAAAUGUCUCUUGAAUUGCUCUAACAAGAAAGUGCAUCUCCUUACGAAUGUUGUUUGAAUUACCCAACCAAGGAAGUGCAUCUCCUUACAAGAAAUCCUGUCUCCUCGAAAUCUUGAAUUAUGAGUUUUACCAUGGCUUUGAAUACCAAAUAUGUGCAGAAAUAUUGUCUCCUUCAUUUGUGUAAGUGCGGUAUUGCAACUUUCGAUAUUUAGGCUUUGAAAUCCUUGAUUCGAAGGUAACAUUUGUUCCUGUUUCAUAUAAAGAAAAUUUGUUAGUUUAAAAAUAAGGUGGCUGGUUUGCGGCUUUGGCUUUCGUGGAAAUCGCUCUUGCCCCAGUCGCAUUUAAUCUUGCUUUUAACCAUUAGCAUGUGUCACUGGCUUGCUGUAUCAUUGACCUGAACUCAGAUUAUUAAGAGAGACUCUGAAACAAAUACAGUAUCCUUGAUUUGUCAUGCUUCUCAGAUAAACCCUUUGAACAUUGGUAUUUCCAUGAAUUCCCAGACUUGUCGGAUGACAAAAUUGUCUGCAUGCCUUGUUUUGGCUCACAAUCAUGUCUCUUUCAUGUGCUGGCCUUUUGUUUUGCUUUCUGCAAUUGAAGAAGCUGGUAGCCAGUUUUGAAAUCUUUUCUCACUUGUUUCGACAUAGACUUGAAUCAACAACAAGAGAAAAAUGACAAUGACUUUUAUUUGGAUAACUGACUCAAGAAAGAUAAACAAAAUAAAGAGAAGAAAGAAAAGAUAAUGAAUGUCCCAACUGAAACAAAGAAAUAAAAAUUUAUCUAAAAAUGACAAUCAACUCCAAAGAUUAUGCCAUGCAUUUUGGGUCAGGCUGCCUUAUCUUUCCAUCCAAAUUUUCUACCAAUUGUUGUUGAGUUAAUGGCCUUGAAACUGAGUUGUUUCCUUAGGUCAAUUGCAUUUAAGACCUCGUUCGGCUAGUGGCGCCUUGGAGGGUUUUUUUUCAACAAGCCUUUCUCAUUUUUUCUAGCUCACCAUUGCCUUAUGGUGUUCAUGAGGGUUUUUCACCAAUGAGACUCUCUUAUUUUCAUUUGUUCAACUCACUAUUGUCUUACCAUGCCCGUAAGAGUUUUCACCGAUAAGACUCUCUCAUUGUUAUCUCCCUCAUCUUACCAUCGUCUUACGAUGUCCGUGAGGGUUUUCACCUAUAAGACUUCUCAUUUUCAUUUCUCUCCUGAUUCCUUAUGCUAAGGAAUACAAGUAGUUCCCAAAAUGCAUCAUCACAUCCAUUGCAUGCUUAGCCUUAACAUUCUCAAAGAUUGAUCUGAAGGUCUUUCUUUGAUUGUAACUUGGCUUUUGGAUAGGGUUAGAAAGAAAGGAUGACAUGAUGCCCAAACGACACUUGAAGUGGCUUAGGACUUACAACUUUUGGAAUCGACUCAAACAAAUGAGGAUUAACUCAUGCCCCAGUUUCUUUUGACUGGAUGAUUCUAAAUUAUUUAUUUGGUUAGACUGAGCCCUUAGUAGGGCAGCCUACGUAUCUCACCCCCGAGAGAGGAGAAUCAGGUCAUGCGUAGUUCUGGAAGCUUAUUCUUUCACUUGAUUCUAAUUUUUUUUCUUUUGUUGACUCUUUUCUCUUUGGAUUUUUCAAAUUCUAUUUGUCUUGACACUUUUUUCUUUUUAGACAUAUUUUUUUUUCUUCUCUUUUUUUUUUUGAACUUUUUCUGAAUCUAUUAUUUUGCUCGACACUUUUCUUUUGAGCUUUGCUGACUAUAUUGAUUCCAAAAGAGGGGUAUGAAAUAAAAUAGGACUAAAGCUCAAAUGGGGUAAACAAAGGAUGACACGAUGUUUGGAUAGCAGAAUGAAAUGUCUUCGUCAUAUCAAUCCUUGAAAAUGCAAGUACAUAUCAUGUAAUAUGAAAGUGAGAGAUGAAGAUCAUUUGCGACAUCUUUUUAAGCAGAUUAAGUUUGUGCGUCAUUACUCUUGCACUUUGUUCAACAUAUCACUCCACUUUUGUUGUACAAUCCUCACAUCGAAUGACUUAUGCUUUCGUGGAGUUGAUUUUUCUGUCCCUCGGUAUCACACACCCGCUAUUUGAUCUAAUUGAGCCAUGUUUUUCAAUUGAUGAUCAAGUUAUUCUUGUGAUUCUCAAAAUAAUUGCCUUAACUUGUCACCAAAUGUCUUAACACUCUAUCUAUUUUCUCAUAUGCUCUCUUUUUCUAACUUUAACCCUUUUAUUCAAUGUUCAUGCUUAAACUGGAUUUUAAUAUCUGGCUGAAAAUUUCACUAGCAUGUCAUAUCACUAGAGUCAACACAAAAUGUACUAUGUAAAGAAAACAAACAAACAACACAUAUUUAAAACACAAAGGAAAAUGAGACACUUCAUUCAGUCGAAACAAAAGAUAGAAGAGCUUGAACAUAAGCAACCAAAGACAAAACAAGACAGAUCCUGAACUACAACCCUGAAAUAAUUCGGAGAACAGAAAAUAAAACAAAACAAGCUUCCAAACCUCUUUCUAGUAGGGAGAGGGGUGGAUUCUCAAUUGCUCGGCCUGACAUCUUAGCCACUAGUUUGUAUAUCAGCAUGACUAGAGUUUUCCUCACCGUCAAUGUUCGGCACCAUAAUCAAUUUGUCUUGAAUCAUCUUUUUAAUUUCUCUUUUUAAAGCACGACAAUCUUUAAUACUGUGACCCUGAACAUCAGAAUGAUAUGCACAUCUUACAUUAGGAUCAAAACUUCUUGAAUUCGGGUCAAGAGUAUACCCAAGGAGAGGAGUGAUCAUGCCUCGCAGUGCCAAUCUUUGAAAUAAACUGACAUACAACUCUCUAAUUAGUGUGAAACUAUCCCUCAAUUUUUGCCUUAUUUCAUUAUUUAACUUGGAUCGAACAUCGGGCCUAGAAGGGCUUUGGUAUGUUUGUGGAAUUGGAGGAUGACUUUGAAGAUUUGGUGCGCGCCAUUGUGGGUAAGGAAGGAGUUGAACAUAUGGUUGUGCGCAAUAUACUAGAUAUAGAGGUCGGGAAAUAGAGUAUAUUGGAUUUUGAGAGUGAUUGUGGAGAGCUUGGGUAUGAACUUGGGCUUGAGACUGACGGCAACGACGACGUCGUCUUCUUGGAUGUGCCCGUUCUCCAACUACAAUAGCAGUGUCAUCUUUCUCAUUCUUCUUCCCUCCAAGUUCCCUCAAUUGAUUGCAGUAUUGUCCCAAAUGUUUCACGAAUUUCUCAUGCCCAUCUUGCUCCUCAAAUUUUGACAUCUCAAAGAUUGGAGGAAGGUCAGCACUUGAAGGCAUGCCCCAAUCUUUGUAUAAAACAUCUUUUUUACCCGUAGGUCCUAGAGAAUUUUUCAUAGCAUUUUCUGCACUCUUCAUUUUUUCAACCAUUUUCUCCGACUCUUCUGGCACACUGGAUUUCUUGUUAAGAAAUUUUGGUGGUUCAGUUAACUUAAAAACAGGCUCAGGAGUAUAACAAUGAUCAACCAAAGUAUUGAAUAUAAGUUCACUAGCAGCAUGGGGAUGCACAACCAUUGGACGAGACAGUGUGGAAGUCCCAGUAGAGGAUUGAGCAACAAGAUCGUAGACGACAUGUGGUGUUGUGAAUGUAGUAGGCUUAUGCUGAGGAGCUAGAGGAAAAGUGGUGGAAGUAUUGAGAUGAUUUUGGCUAGGAAUGAAUUCUGAGUCAUGUUGCGGUGCAUCAACAACAGUAAAAAAUUGACUUUGAGAUUUUGGUGAAAAACUCAAGGUAUUUGUAGGAUCAAUAAAGGGAAAUGGAGGAGGAAGCAACCCACUGGCCCAAGCUCGAUACAUUUCUAUCAUUUGUUGUCUUAGCCUCCUAAUCUCUUGCUUCAAACUCUCAUUUUCCUGAUUCUUUGUUUGAUCCAUGAUGUCACUCUCUAUAUAUUGGUUGGACACAACUAACCCUUUGGAUUUGGUGUGAUGUGAAGGAUCAGCCAGAAUGCCACAAACCAACCACCUUAAACUGACUCAAUAAAAAAACACAUGUGUUGGAGUUCAACACUUUUUCAAAACCUUUUUUUCCUUCUUUUUUUUUUUAAAAGAUCACCAAACCCAACAAGGGCGCCUACGUAUCUCACUCUUGAGAGAGGAGAAUCAGGUGUGCGUAGUUCGUGAAGUCUUGCCAAAAUAGCCAAUUAAACUCUUUUUCCUUUUCUUCUUUUACUCUUUUUUUUAAACUUUAAGAUGAGAAAAUAGCAAAUUAUCAAAAGAAUUGACGAAAAUCUUUUUGAAUUUUUCAACUUUAACAUCUCUAUAUAAUAUGAAACCUACGUUUACCAAAGAAAAAUCUUUUUGAAUUUUCGAUUUUGAAUUUCAUAUGAAAGUGAAACUUGAAACUAUAAAAGAAAAAUCUUUUUGUAGUUUUUCUCUUAAAGAUGUAUAUGAAACACCUACUCUAAAUGAAGAGUGAAUAAAUUUUUUUUGUUUGAAAUAAAAUCCCCAAACCAACAAUAGGUUGCCUACGUAUCUCACUCUCGAGAGAGGAGAAUCAGGGGUGCGUAGUUCGUCCAAAUUGGACAAAUAAAGAUUAACUAACAGACUGACCCUAACUUAAGAGACACAACCAAAGACCGAUGAAUAAUAAAAGAAAUAAAAAAAAUUGGGUUUUUAAUUUGACAUCAACAACUAUGAAAGAAAAAUAUUUUUUAAAAAAAAUUUUGAAUUAUGAAUGCGUGGUAAAGGAAUAAAAGUAUUUUUUUUUGAUAUUUUCGUUAUAUGAAAUGUACAAAACUUCUACCAUUUUUUUUUUUUUUGCAUUUCCCUUUAUAAAACCUCCUAUUGUAAAAAAAAUCUUUUUUUGAAAUUUUUGAAUUGAGAAAAACAAAAGACAUACAGAACUCUAAAAAUUACAAAACUCUUUUUUGGACUUUUUUUUUUCACACACUUUACUUCUAACACAUGCUUUACCCCACAUCAGUCGGGCAAAUGACCACAUUAUUCUCAAAGAUGCAGCAUUUAGCACGUAGGGAUGUUUUAGGGGUGAGUUUCCUACAAAGAACCGUGUGGGCCCCGCUAGAUCUCAAUAUAAUGCACAUAAGAAUGUCCUAUAGGCUGACCUACGUUGUGGUUUACUAACAAGGCUGUUCGGGGGAGCGUAUGGUCAAUAGUGGCUGCUUUGCUUUCUCCCUACUCCAUACAUCCAACGGCUCCCCCCCUAAAAUAAAGGUGACUCAACUAGAGUUCGUGUGCACGACGUGCGCUCCGAGACUUGUUGCGAAAAGAAUGACUAGGGUUAUGCACAUGAUUUCAGAUAUAAAAGCGGUAAACACAUAGGAUAAAUAUUGUAAACAAAGAGCACAAAAACGCACAAAAGUGAAAACACAAAUAAAAAUCACAAACAAUGUUUAUACACUCGUAAUGUCAAACAAAGCGGAUAAGACUACAAAAAAAAAGCUUGAAUUCUGAAAUAGUCCCCAGCAGAGUCACCAGAGCUGUCACACCCCUUUUUUUACCCAAAGAUUAGAUUUUAUGGUUUCAAAAGGGUUUCAUUAUUAAGUGACAAAAUGUGAAAAUUUUUUCCGAAAAAAAAGAUUAUUCUUACUUUCAAAACUCAGAGUCGCCACUUGGCAUAAAUCGGGUGUGACAAGUCACCUUUGGAAAUCCUUUUUCAAAACGGUUUUGACUCUAAAACUGAUCCGCGAACAGAGAUUCCAGCUAAGGAAUUCUGUUGACCGAGGGGAAGGUGUUAGGCAUCCCUCGAUUCCAUGGUUUGACUACGGUCGCUUGGUGGAGCGUAUUGGCUAAUUUGACAUUAUGAAUAUAAACCACACAAAAUCACACAAAACAAUCAAUCAAUCAAACAAACAAACAAACAAAACAAAUCCAAAAUUAUAAUUUCCAGUCCGAUUAUUACAAUUCCGAAAUAGAAAAAUGUGAAAAUAUAAACCUACUCUAUUCUAUAUUAAUUCUAAACUACAUUCCAUUGCUUUCUCCACCCGACGUUUUGGCCCUUGAUUGUGCGUCAUCUUCAAGUACAUGGUACUUCGGGGCAUUCCCCGGAUAAAUCACUAUAAAUCUCUCGGGGGCAUUCUCCGGCCAAAUAAAUACAAUAGAUGUCAAUGCAUAAAUCAAAACCAUUCCACAAACAUUUCAUUAUUAAACAAUCACAAAUCCUAAACUUUUCCUACCUAACUUAUUGCUUGCCUAACGAUCCACAGCCUAAAACAUGAUACUAUCAAACUUAACAAAGUCGACGUUCAUUCCAAAUCAGGCAAUCAUCGCUGAACCAACACAAAUCAACGUUCACUUUUAACAAUUUUCGAUCUUUUUCCCCAAAUCAACUACGUGAUUAACAUAUUUCACAUCAGGAUUAACAAUCAGAUAACGACGAGUAAAAUCACUUCAACCAAAUUCAAUCAAAAAUCACACCAUUCAAAAAUAUUCAUGAAAAAGAGAGAUAAGAGAUAUAGAAUUGGACCUCGACCUCCAUUCGAACCCCAACAGCAGACCCACUCCAAACUCGGUAUUACCAAAAUUAAAACCCUGAACUGACCACGAUGACCCAAAAAGCUCGCUAAAAUCCAAUGGAAAAUCAAACACCCGCAGGGUUCGAACUCCGAUGAGUCGCCGGUGAUGCGGACGAACAGAACAACCAGUUGUCGGAUGGAUUUAGUUCGGAAUCGAAGAACAACGGAGGAAAGUUUGACCGUUUUAUACGAACGACGAACGGAAGGGAUGAUUCCGGCAAAGCUACUGCCAAAACAGUAACCCGAAAUCAACCCCUCUUCCUUCUUCAUUACGGAUCUCGACCUCUCUCACUCUAUCUCCCUCCCAUUCUCGAAUUUCUCUCUCUCUAUUUCUGUGUGUGAGUGUGUGUGGAAUUGUUCGGUGCUUGAUUAUUUCGGUGAGGGUCCUCUCUAAAUUGGUUACUGUGUGUGUAUCUUCGAAUUUCCAGUGAGUUUCUGAGUUCCCCCGAUUUCUGUGAGUUUGUAUGUAUAUAUGUUGUGGGUAUAUGAGGAUGCACAAAUGGAUAAAUCCGACGGUGUCUUUUAAAGGAAAAAAACGUGAUAGAGGAGGUGUUGAUGGCGUUCUCGGUGAGGAAGAAAAAGGGGGGGGGGGGAAUGGAGUCUGUGUAUGUCGUGAGUGUCCCCCGUCCUAUGCGUGCACUGUGUGUGUAUAUAUAAUCGCAUCCUUUCUUGUCAAGAAGAAAUGUGAUAUGUAUAUAUGGUCCUCUUUUAAAAAUGGAGAAAAUGGUCCUUUUUUGUCCAUUUCAUGGAAGUUUCCUAGUGGGGCCCUUUUUUAAUGUUUAUCCCUUUUUGCCUUUGUGGACAAGAAAUAUGAGGGAGAGAAGGUCGCGUGGGUAUAGGGUGUUGGUGGUAGGGGUAUGGGGAAUGUGUCUUAUUUUAAUUGAAAGGGUUGUUAGGAUGUUAAAAAGAAUAAAAGUUUGUUAGGGAUUUUGUUGAGAGUUAUUUUUUUGUAUUUUUAUGGGAUGUAAUUACAUGGGUAGGAUAACCUAAAAAAUGGGUAAAACGAUAUCGGGGAGGGACGAAAUUACCUGUCUACAAUUACCUUUUUUUCUUUUAAAUAGACAAAGUUAUUUAAUUUUUAAAGUAAAAGAGUAAAAAUGUCCAAAAGUUAACUAGUUCAUACUGUGAACAUAACUUUUUUCUAUUGUGGCCAAAAAAUUAUGGUCAAAAGAACUUUUCCGGUGGAUAAUGCUAAAUGGCCACAAAAAUUUGGCCACAAUAAUAAAAAGACUAUAUUACCUUUUUUCUUUCAAAUAGACAAAGUUAUUUAAUUUUUAAAGUAAAAGGGUAAAAAUGUCCAAAAGUUAACUAGUUCAUAAUGUGAACAUAACUUUUUUCUAUUGUGGCCAAAGGAUAGUGUGCUAAAUGGCCACAAAAAUUUGGCCCAAAUUUGGCCACAAUAAUAAAAAGACUAUAUUACCUUUUUUCUUUCAAAGACAAAGUUAUUUAAUUUUUAAAGUAAAAGGGUAAAAAUAUCCAAAAGUUAACUAGUUCAUAAUGUGAACAUAACUUUUUUCUAUUGUGGCCAAAAAAUUGAGGCUAAAGAAUAGUGUGCUAAAUGGCCACAAAAAUUUGGCCCAAAUUUGGCCACAAUAAUAAAAAGACUAUAUUACCUUUUUUCUUUCAAAGACAAAGUUAUUUAAUUUUUAAAGUAAAAGGGUAAAAAUAUCCAAAAGUUAACUAGUUCAUAAUGUGAACAUAACUUUUUUCUAUUGUGGCCAAAAAAUUGAGGCUAAAGAAUAGUGUGCUAAAUGGCCACAAAAAUUUGGCCCAAAUUUGGCCACAAUAAUAAAAGGAAUAUAUUACCCUUUGUUUUCAAAUAGACAAAGUUAUUUAAUUUUCAAAGUAAAAAGGUAAAAAUAUCCAAAAGGUUAAUAUAGAAUGAAGAGUAAGAAUAAUUACUCUUAACAUUAAUUAUUCUAGAAUGAAGAGGCAUGUUCCUUUUGAGUUACUCCCCCGUUUCAUUUUAGUUGGGCUUCUUUCUAAAAAUAUUUGUUUCAAUUUAGUUAUUCCAUUAAUGAAAUUAAGAGGAUUUUAAUAUGUUUUUUCAAUAAUAUCCUUAUCAUUAAAUGACUAAACAAAUUAUAUAUAUCCAAAUUUAUAUUUUCAAAGCAUAAAUAAUAAGGCUAAUUUCGUAAAAUAGAUUCCUAAUAAAUGUUUUUCUUAAUGGGUGUAACAAGUCUGUAGGGGCCAACUAAUAUGAAAUGGAGGGAGUAUGAUUUUAUUCCUAAAUAAGUAUAUGUUUAUAUCUUGAAGAAUACUUUGACAAUAAUCUUCCAAAUAUGUUUUUGAGUUCAAAUAUAAUAAUCAAUGUUAACAAGAAAAGAGAUGAAAUUUAAUUAGGGGUAAGUUGGUAAUGUUACAGUCAAUUUUCUAUGAGUAAAUAACUUAUUAAAGUACAUGCUCAAGUAGCACUUAUUUAGGAAUAGAGAGAGUAAAGAUUAAAGAAUUAAUAAGGGAUAUAUAAGUCAAAUCAUACUCCUAAUUAUUUUUCUUUAAGAAUUGUGCAAAAUCUAAACCUUUCAACUAUUUUGAGAUGAAUACAGUAUAUGCAAGGUGUAUACUCCCUCUAUUCUCUUCUAAUUGUCACUAUUUUUAUAAUUAGAUUUCUAUUUUUACUUGUCACUUUUGACAUCUCAAGAAAAGACAAAAUAUUUUUUUCUAUUUUACUCUUAACAUUAGUUAUUUAUUCUUCAAAUCAUUUUCAAGGCAUAAUACUCUAAACAUCAAUUAAUAGAGUUAGUAUGGUAAAGUAGUCAUAUCAAUAGUUGUUUUUUUAAUGGAAUUUUCAUGUCAAAUAAUGACAGGUAAAAAUGAACGAAAGAAGUAUAAGCUUAAUCAGAAGUGGAUUCAGGAUUUUGAGAUUUCGGAUGUCAUACUUUUUAUGACUUGAUCUAUUUUGAGCUUUGAUUUAGAUAAUUGCCUUUUUGGUUUAUAUAGACAAUUAAAUAACUAUAGUAAUUUUAAACAAAGGCAUAAAAGAUCGUGAGGGUUUGGCUUUGAUGCUAUGUGAUGAACAUGUGAUUUUGACGAUUGACAAAACUCGUGAGUGAAUCUGGUCCUCACCAGAUAUGCUGCCUCUACAAUUUAUUUUAUUUUUCAGAGUCAACUGUGUGAGAACCUGGUCCUUAGAGGAAUCCUGUUUUGUAGGGAUUGGGUUCAUAUUAUGUACUCAUAACCUUGUUAACCGAUAAACUUCUGAAAGAGAUUUCUACUGAUUCAACAUUUGUAUUUUAGGUGAUAUGGGGACAUAGAAGUACUGAUCUGAUAUAUGAAACUCGUGCUCUUAAGUCUUAAUGAUUGACAAACUGCAUGUAAGGACUUGAUCCCUAAAGGACGUAAGUAUGUGGUCAACUGUACAGCUGAAAAGUCUUGUCCUACAACUGUAUUGACAGCAUUUGCAGGUGGUUAGUGGCAUAACAAAAGCUUUUUAAUCUCGACCAAUGAGAAAUAUUCUAGGUUUUUCCUCCCAUUUGCUUCAUAUAUAUAGAUCAUUAUGUGAGAGGAAAACCUAACAUUAAAGUUCCAUCAAGACAAAGAUCCAACAACCAAAGGACCAGUUUGCUACAACAGAAUAUGUCUUUAGGUCUAAGUUGUUGAGUUUUUGUAUUUUGCUCUAACAUUGUAAACCUACUCCUAUUCUGAGGAGCUUGUGUAGGUAUUUUAUUUUAUCUCUUCUCUUGUAUAUCUAAGUUGUGGGCUAAAGUUAACCUUGUAGUGUUGGGGGCUAAAGAAGUCGUGGUAGUACCGGUGUGGGCUAGAGGUAGCCUUAGUUGUCUUUACAAUAGAGUUAUUGUAGAGAGUGCUUACAAUAGAGUUGUUGUCAGGGUGAGGGAUUAAGAAUUUAAUUCCUAGGUUGCAAGAUGUUGUAAUCCAAAAGUUGCUCUUGUUUUAGUGAAGUGGUUGAAAAAUUUUACUAGGGUAGGUCAUGAUUUUACUCCCUUAAGUAAGGAGGUUUCCACGUAAUACAUCUUGUCUUCUUUACUUUUGUUCUUCAACUUUUGUUCUUAGUUAAUGAACCUAGUGAGGGACCAGGUUUUCAUUACUAUGGUGAACUCAUAUAGAACCUUUUUUGUUAGCUAAAAAAAAUGAUAAGGGACCUGGUUUCUAAUAUUGUGGUAGUGGACGCACGCAAGUCAUCACUAUGUAAAGAAAUGAAUUUGAGGUUAACUCAACCUCAAAAGCUAGCAUAAGAGGUGACUAUUGUCCAUGACCAUUUAAAGAGCAAAUUUGCCUUCUACCCACCUAUAUGAAACUCAACAUCUUUAGCAAAUUUAAAGGAUCAAAAUUACUCAGGAGUAUAAUAUUUAAGGGAUUAAUUUGAAGUUUAAACCUACCUAAAUAUAAGAUUACUUUUAUUACUUUCUGUUAUUGCUUCUACAAAUGACCCAAAAGUAUAACAGAGGGUAUUUACGUAUUAUUUUUAAUAGUUUAGGAUAUAUAUAAUCUUUUUCGAAUAAAAGAAAAUGAUGAUGCAAAGAUCUUUUGUGUACUGAGAUAUUUUAAUUUACGGAAGAUGGUCAAAUAUUUUAAUCAAACAUCCAGUGUAUUAUUAACUUCAUCGCGUAUCUGAAUUUUGCUAAUCAUGAUUGAUAUAAAAACAUGUCUAACUUUCUCGCAUUCAAGAAAAAUAUAAGUAAUAAAAUAAAAUGCAAAAUAGCACAUUAAAAUAUCAAACACUAUCAUAUAGUGUUGCUUCAUUCCAAAUGGUGUAGGUUACAAGAUUUCAUCGCCAAAUCUUUUCCAUGAUUACAACCCAAAUUACAAUGCUUACAAGUAUUAAAGAACUUGUUGAUAACAAGUUGUUGAAAUAUUUGUGUCAGUUACCACCAAUUUAUUUGCUAUGGGUAGCAAUUUUCUCAAGGCAAUCACUACCAACCCCAUGUAUCCAAUUAUCAAAUUCCUUAAACUCAGAGUCAUCUCCAUAUACAGAAAUAGCACAAUCAUUGCAAGUAUCAAUAUCAGUCAUCAUUGCACUAAUAUCAACAUUGGCUUUAUAAUAGUUUUUAACUUUGCAAUCUUCUUCAGCCUUCUUCAUGGCAUCCACUGCAUCUUGAUACACCUCCUUGCAUGUCUCGAGACAAUCCGUGGCGUAAAUGUCUGUCUCUGGAUCCUCUAAACGUUGUUCAAUGACAGUCGAAAUGAAUUCUUCCGUCUUGGCCAUCGUAGCUUCCAUCACGGAGUUGAUAAAUAUGGAAACAUCCCCGUUUGAGGUGACAGGAGUACUCUUUUUUGAAAUUUCAAUGGUUUUUUUAUAGGCUGAGGAUGAGGAAAAGGAAGAGGACGAUUUAGAUGGAGAAAGGGGAGGUGCUUGGGAUUUAGGGAUUUUGUAUCCCUUAGGUGGGAGGGGUUUCUUAUAGGAUGAGGGCGAGGGCGAGUAUGGUUUGGAUGGAGGAGGUUCUUGGGAUUUAGGGACGUUGUAUCCCUUAGGUGGGAGGGUUUCUGUAUAGGGCGAGGACGAUGACGAUGACGAUUUAGAUGGAGAUAGGGGAGGUGCUUGGAAUCUUGGAAAAAAGAAUGUUGCCUUAGAUGGGAGGGUUGUAAAGAAUAGUGAAAUGGCAAAGACUAAAAAAAUUUGGUUAUAAAAUGCCAUUAUCUUUCUUUCUACUUUAAUAAUAGAAAGUAAGUUUGAAAGAAAGACAAUGGAAAAAAAGAAUGAUGUGAAAUAUGAUGAUUCAUUGGGGGUGUAUUUAUAUCUAAAAUGAGUUAUAGAUUUAUUGGCUAUGCUUAAAUAUAGAUUUUCAAGUGAAUAUCAACCUUCAUUUGACAAAUUUUUGUUCAUUUAUUAUAGAAUGAUAGAUUUUCUUGGCCCCACAAACUCAACCAUUCACACAUCAAAUUAAUUAAUGGUAUUCCUUACUUUCUUCCUAUCAAAAUAGUUAGCAUGUUUACUAAAAGUAUUUUUUUAAAAUACUUUCUCCGUCUCAAAUUGAGAUUCCAUAUUAAUUAAGAAAUAUAAUUCAUAAUAUGGUUAAUUUACCAUAAUACCUCUAUUAAAUAAUAUUUAUAUUUUAAUUUAAAUAAAAAGUAAUUAAUGCAAAAGAUAAAACAUGAAAAAAAAAUUGUCUCUUCUUAAUUAAUGAAAAAGGACAAGUAAAAUGCAAAAUUAAAUUAGAAAAUUUGGGACAGAUAAUUUGAAAUGGAGGCCAUAGUUAUCAGUUUAAAAGAUCAAGAGAUCAAGCAUUAAUUAAUUUUUUUCUCACUUUUACUUUUAACAUUAAUUAUUCUAAAAUAAAGAAGCAUGCAAAUUUAUAAAAAUUAAAAAAUUAAUAAGGAAUAUACUAGUCAAAUCAUGUUCCUAACUAAUUUUUUUCAUAAAAGUUGUGCAAAAUCUAAAUCUUUCAACUAUGUUAAAACGAAGGUACUAUAUGCAAAGACCAAGUGUACAUAAGCUUAACCUUAAAUAAACACUUCAUUAAGGACCCGUUUGGAAGGUUGUACUAAUUAAAUAAUCCUUGGACUAAAAUUUUAUCCAGGCAAUACAUUGUUCGAUAAUUUUUUUUAACUUAAUACAUGAAUUGCCUAUACACCAUAUGGAGUCUUAUUUUAUUCCUAGUAAAUGGAAGAAUAACUUAUCCAAGAUUUAACAAUUCAUGGAUAAGAUCUUAAAUAACCAAACUAUUCCUCAAUUUUUUUUCCUCUAUUUCUUUUAUAAUUUGAUGUCCUCUUUAGUUAUAUUUGAUUGAUUAUAAAAUAUAAAUAUCCUUUUUAAUUCUCCAAUCUGUUUUAAUAUAAUUUGAUGAUUUUUACAAAUUAAUGUUUGAUUUUUUUCUCCAUGUUUGAUUUAAUAUACUGGGAUUUUGUUGUUGUUUUUUUUUAUUUUUUUUAGGGGAGGAGGGGGGAGGGGCGUUGUUUUUUUUUUCUUUCAACAUAGUUCGUGGAUUGGUCACUUGAACCAUUUGUUCUUUUUUUAAAAAAAAAAAAUAAGCUUCAACCAUUUGAAUAUUUAUUUAGCCUUAAAUCUAUGGUAAGUUUAAGACAUAUUUGACUAAUUAAAAAAAAUAUUAGAAGUACAUCAUGCUAUCAAGGAUCUCCGUAGUGGCACAUUACACUUGAUAAUAGCAAGUUUUUAUUUAUAUUUUAAUGGUAAAAUGACCUUCUGGACCUUUGUACUAUGUUGGUUUUGUAAGUUGGAUACUUCUACUUACAUGUUUGUUAUCUGGAUCCCUGAAGCCACUAAAAAGCAACAUUUUAAACCCUUUUUUGGUGAGCGUAACACUCUCUCCCCACGUCAGCUGUCAAGUCUGCCUCAUCUGCCAUGUCAUUUAAAAAAAUAUAUAAAAAUAAAAAAUAAAAAAAAUCAUUACAUUAAAUUUCAAGUAAUUUUUAAAAUGCUAAAUAACAAAUUAAAUAUUAAAAUUAAUUUAAUUAAAUAAGAAAAAUUUAUAAUUGUAGAAAAAAUUGAAUAAUCAUAUUUUUAUUUUUGCUCACAAAUCAAACAUCAAAUUCAUUCCAAAUAAUUAAAAUUCUUCUCCAACUAAUUUAAAUUUUUAACUAUAAAUUCAUAUAUCCAAACAUAAUAAAUUUUCGAUUUUUAAAUUUGAAUAUCUUUAAAAAAUUCACAAAAANNNNNNNNNNNNNNNNNNNNNNNNNNNNNNNNNNNNNNNNNNNNNNNNNNNNNNNNNNNNNNNNNNNNNNNNNNNNNNNNNNNNNNNNNNNNNNNNNNNNNNNNNNNNNNNNNNNNNNNNNNNNNNNNNNNNNNNNNNNNNNNNNNNNNNNNNNNNNNNNNNNNNNNNNNNNNNNNNNNNNNNNNNNNNNNNNNNNNNNNNNNNNNNNNNNNNNNNNNNNNNNNNNNNNNNNNNNNNNNNNNNNNNNNNNNNNNNNNNNNNNNNNNNNNNNNNNNNNNNNNNNNNNNNNNNNNNNNNNNNNNNNNNNNNNNNNNNNNNNNNNNNNNNNNNNNNNGACUGGGUUGGGGAGGGAUUUUUUCAAAAAAAAUUUUAAAACUAUUUUUAAAUUUUUAAAAAUAUUUUUAACCUAUUUUUAAAUUUUUUAAAUUAAAAAAAUGGAGGAAAAAAAGGACUUUUUCUAUUUAUUUUUGUAAUUUAAUAUUUUUUUAAUUAUUUUAAUGUAAAAUUGGUCAAAAAUUGACCCCCAUUCGCAUUUUCAGGCGAGUGGCUACACUCUUUUUGUCCUAGUCUCCAUUUCAAUGCCACAUAGGCAAGGUCAACGGUCAAAGGGUGAAAAAUAUUAUUUUUUAAUGGGUUCAAGGGUUCAGAUGACAAACAUGUAAGUAGAUGUGUCCAACUUACAAAACCGACAUAGUACAAGAGUCCAGAAUGUCAUUUUGCCUAUUUUAAUUUUUAACUUGAUUAAUUUAAUGAAAUAGAAAAUCCCACAAAAAUUAAAGGAUAUAGUUGUAAAGGAAUUUUUUUUUAAUACAAUGAACCAAACACUUGAUAAAAAAUAAUUCAAAUACUAUAAUCUUAUAUUACUAAGUCAUGCAUUAGUAAUUCUUACAUUAUUAAUCUCUGUAUUAUUUGUCUUCAUACUAAACGGCCCCAAGUGUUAAUUACUUUGAGAAAGUAACAAAAAUUGGUCCCUUAAGUUUGUGUAAGUUUAAAAUAAUCCUUAAAAUAUUUAACUGAGCUAUUUUGAGUCUUUAAGUUUAUCAAAAAUUAGCACUUUCAAUCUUCAUCAAAUAUUUGAUAAAUUGUAUCUGUUAAAUUUGACCUGAUUUUUCUCUUUUGAUGGAUACUUUACAUUUCUCAUUAAUGAAAUUAAAACCUUCUCUCAAGGAAAUAAAUAAUAUUUUCUUAACAGUAAUUAAUUAAUAAGCUAUCAAAAACUAUAACAGAAAUGGAUAGCGGUUGUAAAAGCUCCUCUGAACUUUCAUCAACGGGCCUUUCGUAAUUUGAAGAAAAGAAAAGAAAUUUAUCGUGUAAAGAUCUUUCAUGUAUUUUUUGUAAUUUUUUUUUAUAAGAAUAUUAAAAAUUUCUCAUAAAAAGGACAUAAAAAUAUAAACAAAUCAUUAUAGAACUACAGAAUCUAUUGACCAAGUACUUGCAUAUUUUAGUUUAGGGAAAAUAGUCAAAUAUUUUAAUCAAACAUCCAGUCUAUUGUUAAUUCUACCGCACAUAUGAAUUUAAUUUGCCUUAUCGCGAUUGAUAUAAAAUAUAUUUAAAUUCGUGGCAUUUGAGAAAAGCAAACAAAUAAAUAAAUAACACAUUAAAAGAUCAAACACUAUCAUAUAGUGUUGCUUUAUUCCAAAUGGUGUAGAUUACAAGAUUUUAUCACCAAGUUCUUGAAAUAUUUGUGUCAAUUACCAUUGUUUGCCCUCUUAUCCAAUUAUAAAAUUUCCUAAAUUUAGAGUUAUCUCCAUAUAUAGAAAGAGCACGAUCAUUACAAGUAUCAAUAUAUGUUGUCAUUGCACUAAGAUCAACAUGGGUUGUAUUAUAGUAUUUUGCCUGACAUCUUAUUCAGUCUUCCUCAUUGCAUCCAUUGCAAGUCCAUACACCUCCUUGCAUGUCUUAAGACAUUAAUCCGUGGCGUACGUGUCCCUUUGAGGCGACAUGAGUCUUUUUUGAAAUUCCAAUGGUUUUCUUAAAGGACGAGGAUUUGGAAAAGGAAAAGGACAAUGAUGAGAAUGGGGUCGAUUUAGAUGGAGAAUGGGGAGGUGCUUAAAAUUUAGGGAUAUUGUAUCGCUUAGGUGGGAGGGGUUUCUUAUAGGACGAGGGUGUGGGCGAGGACGGUUUAGAUGGAGAAAGGGGAGGUGCUUGGGAUUUAGGGACAUUGUAUCCCUUAGGCGAGAGGGGUUUCUUAUAGGACGGGGGUAAGGGCGACGAUGGUUUAGAUGAAGAAAGAGAAGGUGCUUGGGAUUUAGGGACAUUGUAUCCCUUAGGUAGGUGGGUUUCCUAAUAGGAUGAGGGUGAGGUCGAGGAUGAGGAUGAGGACAAGAAUGAGGAUGAAAACGAGGACGAUUUAGAUGCUUGGAAUUUAGGAAUAAAGAAUGUUGCUUUAGAUGGAAGGGUUGUCAGGAAUAGAGAAAUGACAAGGACUAGAAAAACUUGGUUAUAAAAUGCCAUUGUCUUUCUUUUUAAUUUAAUAAUAGAGAGAAAGUUAAAAAGAAAGACAAUGGAAAAAAAAAAGAUGCACAAUAUGGAGAUUCAUUCGGGGUGUAUUUAUAUCUAAAAUGAGCUAUAGAUUUCUUG